GCGUGUGUAGGCGGUUUGUUAAGUCUGUUGUGAAAGCCCCGGGCUCAACCUGGGAAUGGCAAUGGAUACUGGCAAGCUAGAGUGUGAUAGAGGAUGGUGGAAUUCCCGGUGUAGCGGUGAAAUGCGUAGAGAUCGGGAGGAACAUCAGUGGCGAAGGCGGCCAUCUGGAUCAACACUGACGCUGAGACACGAAAGCGUGGGGAGCAAACAGGAUUAGAUACCCUGGUAGUCCACGCCCUAAACGAUGCGAACUGGAUGUUGGUCUCAACUCGGAGAUCAGUGUCGAAGCUAACGCGUUAAGUUCGCCGCCUGGGGAGUACGGUCGCAAGACUGAAACUCAA
rnacentral:rRNA from 1 species